ACGCUCGACACCUACGGGAGGCUGCAGUGGGGAAUAUUGCACAAUGGGGGAAACCCUGAUGCAGCGACGCCGCGUGGAGGAAGAAGGUCUUCGGAUUGUAAACUCCUGUUGUUGGGGAAAAAGAGGAUGGUACCCAACAAGGAAGUGACGGCUAACUACGUGCCAACAGCCGCGGUAAUCUGAGCGGGCUGGCAAGGC
rnacentral:rRNA from 1 species